AGCCCAUUCUAUGGCCCAACAAGCCAUCCAACCUUCUCCAUCUCCGCCUCAUCCCCGAAGCGCCGCCAGUCACCAUGCCCUCACUCCUCCCGAAGCGCUGCCAUGCCCACCUCGAUCUCCGCCGCCACCUCCCACACCUACCUCCGCGGUAGUCCUGCGCCCCCUCUAACCCGACCGCCGGCGAUACUCCUCCCAUCCCGAUCUCUGCCGAUGGUCCUGCGUCCUCACCACCUGACCUCCAAAGAAGCUCCUCCGACCCACCUCCCUCCCCGACCUCCGCUGCGCUCCCGCGCUCUUCGCCGUGGUCAUGCCCCCAUCCAUGCCGGCAGUGCAUGCUGGAUUAGGAGGUUGUACACGUACGUCUAUAUUUCUGUUCAAGUCGAGCUUCGUGAAUCUGAAACGUAUUGCCAUCACUUCAAUCUCAUAUGCAUGUGCUAGAUGCGGGAAGAAAUACUUCUCUUUUAAUUUGUAUAUGGCUGUGCGUGCAUAUGUAUGUACUGGCACAUCUUGCCGGAACCUGAUUGGGAAGUCAUAUUAGCUAAAUCUACGCGCCCGUGUCUUCGUGCCAUGUUAGUCGCAACUCACGGCCUGUAUCAACAACACCAGUUAUAUUUCUUCUCUCUUUAUUAUAACUAAUGUCAUCAAAUCUGAUAGUCGUCUACAAAGGUUUUCCCUGUGGAUACUGAGAUGCAUGGCACCAUUUUGCAGAUACUUGGAGUAUAUAUAUAUAUAUAUAUAUAUAUAUAUAUAUAGAGAGAGAGAGAGAGAGAGAGAGAAGUAAUACUUCGUUGAAACAAUAACAACAAUAUCAUCAUUUCAUCCACAUGACAUCGUCCAUGUCUACUGAUGUGGUUGGCACUCACCAUAGGUACUCUCUCCCCCAUAGAUGUACUGUUUUAUCUCUCUAGAUGUUUAUUAAUAAAACUGGUCAUGUAUAGCAUUCAUGCCUUCUGGGUAUAUAGAAGUCGAGGUGCCUAUGCAGGCUGCAAAAAUAAAGGGCGUCCCAACUCGGAUUUUGUGUCCUGCUUGAGCACGUCAGUAAUGGGCGUCGAACAUGGACUCCACAUGGAAUGCUCUCUUUGCCACAUAAAUGAUGGCCUCAAGCCCCUAUGUGGAAGUAUCCAGUCUCACCGUUCUACCAUUUUCUCUAGAAUAACGAUGUACAACUUUGACGGAACACCGACCGCCAGUGCUCCACCUGAGGUACACCAUUGUACAAUCUACAUGCCAAACCAUGAGUAAAGUAGCAAGCUAUUAUGUUUCAAAAUUUAUUUGGAAGAGCAUGUGUUUUGGGUUUUAUACUUCACCAUGAUCUUUUACUGUGUGCCUGCAACCAUAGCUUCUAUGGUAAUUAACUUGCCAUAUACAGAUAGUCUGCAGAGUUUACAAACAAGAGUGAAACCAGUAAUGAUGAGUGAGAUUAUGGUACGAUUGCCAGAUUAAUAACUCAGAGCAAGAAAGCUAUUUUACUGGUGCGCUCCCGCGCUCUUCACCGUGGUCACAUUCCCAUCCAUGCCGCUCUUUUCCCUGAACACCCAUGAGAGCACCGCCACGCUGCGAGGAGAGCAAGUCGACGUGCCUAUGCGGGCUGCAAAAAUGGAGGGCCUCGCCAAAUCGGAUGUUGUGUCUUGCUCAAGCACGUCAUUAAUGUGUGUUGGACAUGGACUCCACAUGGAACACUCUCUUUGCCACAUCAAAGAUGGCCUCAAGCCCCUAUAUGGAAGUGUCCAGUCUUGCCGUUCUACCAUUUUCUCUGGAACAACGAUGUACAACUUUGACGGAACACGGACCAUCAGUGCUCCAUCUGAGAUUGUAAACCAGUUUUUUAUCGGGGCCAGUUUUCCGGUUGGAAGGAAGAAACUCCACUCGCUGGGAGGACUUGGUGGUAAUUUACAAGAUCGUGCAGCAUUUUUCAUGUAACUGGUAGUGAUCUAAGUCACAUGUUAUUAGAGUGGAUGUUACUACAACAUUUCCGUAUAAACGUAUGCCACUGAUCUUCGCAUAUAUUGCACUCCCUUUGUAAAUAAAUAUAAGAUGUUUUAAUAUGUUUCUACUACUAUAUAUUUUUGUCAUUAUUAUGACAAGAGAUCGAUUAGCUUCUCUGCAAUAUAUAUUGUCAAUUUGAU